rnacentral:lncRNA from 1 species
UAACUGUAACUUAACUGUUAACGGUAGAAGCCUCAGGCAGGUCCUUCAGGAGGAAUCCAGAAGAAGGCAUUGUUAUUACAGGAGAUGACAACUCCAUGCGUGUCAUUGUCCCUGAAGACCUUCCAGUGGGACAAGAUGUGGAGGCGGAAGACAGUGAUAUUAAUGAUCCUGACCUUGGAAAUUAGAAGUAGAAAGUUCAGCAAGAACACAGGGGAGCGUUAGAAGUCAUAAAUGAAGAGCACAGGAGCUGCUUGAUGUGGCCAGGUAAAAUCAAGGACCAAGUUCACUCCAUUACCACCC